rnacentral:RNase_P_RNA from 1 species
GUGGUCCAACCCUGCGCUGGGGGUAACUCGCGGGGUACAUUGUUGCUCAAUCGAAACCCUCGGUAAGGUCUGAGAUGAGCCACCAAACGACACCAAAGUUCACCAAGACUUUCAAUUGUACAUUUCAGAUUCCAC